GUGUGUGUGUGUGUGUGUGUGUGUGUGUGUGUGAGGUGGGUGGUGUGUUAUGUCAUUGGUUUGGGCGACUCGAGACCCCGCCUUGAUGAAGAACAGUGUGUGUGUGUGUGUGUGUGUGUGUGUGUGUGUGUGUGUGUGUGUGUGUGUGAGGUGAAAGCGAGAGUGAGGAAGAGCAGGAGAAGAAGAGCGGAACACAAACACUCGCGCGUUUCCUCCUCCUGUGGCGCGCGCACAUACACGCGGAAUCCGCGGCGGUCGGUCCGGUUACCGGAACCGGUUCGGUUCGGUUUGGAUUUUUCUCCCGAUGAUGAUGAAGUUUCUCGGCGCUGUUUGAAGGUUUGUGAGCUGGACGCAGAUCCUGGAGGAGGAUGAGCUCAUGAACUCGCCGCUGACUGACAUCAGCCAUUAACGAACAGCUGAAGUCGGAGGCCUGAAGGAUUUGUGUCCGAACAACACUGAAUGUGUUCACAGUCUGCGAUGAUCCUCUCGGGGAAUUAUCAGGAGAUCUGAUUGGCUCUGAUCUCAGCUGAGAGUCACACACACACACACACACACACGGAGGCCGGACAGAUGGCGACCCUUCACUCCCUGUGCGGGAACAUAAGAGCGCCUCGCUGCGACAACGAGGACGUGGCCGCUGAACCGUAUCUGUUGAAACACCUCCGUUAACUCCGGCAUAUAGUCAGAUCAAACCGCAGAUGACAGAUGAAGUGAUUGUUGAGGAGUAGAUGAGUUUGUAAUGAGUAUUAAUGAACAGGACCUGAGAGAGAACAGCUCCACCUGAUUCUGCUGUGCCUGUUAUUAAAUGUGAUUUACUCAAGAGGAGAGCUUUACUUUUUAAGUUAUCAAACGCACCUGGAACUGGAACAGAAAACAUGCUUCUUGAAGAAUUUAGGAGUCAGAACAGCAUAAUCUGGCAUCGUAACCAACAAAAAUAUUGUGUAGAAACGAACUUGAUUGAAACCUGCCAUGCAUCCAAAUACACAUACUUCUGUACUACUAUAGAACAGUAUGCGAGUCAAGUAGUUUGAUUUCAUUCAUACUUUUUUAAUGUCAACAAAGUACGUUUCAAACCGAAUGCAGCUCCUACUAUACAGUAUGUGAUUUUGGACGCAGUGAUUCUCUAAAUAUCAGACGCUUAGCAGCAAGAGAGGAGCGAGUCAUGUGAGAGGACGGCAGGGCAGCUGGACUUUGUGUCCUGUUGGAUCGGGAAUGUUUUUGGAAACUGAAGACAAUGAACCAUCUGCACACGGCAGGGAAGCAAAGAGAGCCGGAGCGUUACUGCUGAGAGUCAGUCCGCCAUUGUUAUUAAACGCCUGUUAGACGCAGAGAGAGUGGAGGGGUGGACACACACACACACACACACACACACACACACACACACACUGAGAUGAUCUGCAGCUGUGAUGGGACGGCCAAUGGAUGUCCAAUUUUUUGACUUGUACUCUGAUAAUACCAUUGUUUUUUGUGAAUGCACUGUAGUAAUACUAUCAUUUGUUGAACAUGGUAUGAUGGUAAUAUCUAGUUUUUUUUGGAUGGUAAUGUAAUUUUUUUUUAAUGUAGCAAUAUAAUUAGGGCUGUGCACUAUUCAGGAUUUUGAAAUGUCACCUAUUUGUAUUUACUUUAUAUUAGGGCUGUCAAACGAUUAAUCACAUACAAACUAAAAGUUUAAGUUUGCCUAUU